rnacentral:lncRNA from 1 species
UGUUUUAGGGGUUGCUUUUUAUUAAAGGAAAUUUCCAAGAACUUUCACCCUUUCUAGCCACCUAAAAACAAUUUCUUUUUAUUAAAAAUUUUAUUUUUAUUAUACUUUAAGUUCUAGGGUACAUGUGCACAACGUGCAGGUUUGUUACAUAUGUAUACAUGUGCCAUGUUGGUGUGCUGCACCCAUUAACUCAUCAUUUACAUUAGGUAUAUCUUCUAAUGCUAUCCCUCCCGGCUCCCUCCACCCCAUGACAGGCCCAGUGUGUGAUGUUCUCCACCCUGUGUCCAAGUGUGAUCAUUGUUCAAUUCCCACCCAUGAGUGAGAACAUGUGGUGUUUGGUUUUCUGUCCUUGCGAUAGUUUGCUGAGAAUGAUGGUUUCCCAAUCCAUCCAUGUCCCCACGAAGGACAUGAACUCAUCCUUUUUUACGGCUGCAUAGUAUUCCAUGGUGUAUAUGUGCCACAUUUUCUUAAUCCAGUCUAUCAUUGAUGGACAUUUGGGCUGGUUCCAAGUCUUUGCUAUUGUGAAUAGUGCUGCAAUAAACAUACGUGUGCCUCUGUCUUUAUAGCAGCAUGAUUUAUAAUCCUUUGGGUAUAUACCCAAUAAUGGGACGGCUGGAUCAAAUGGUAUUUCUAGUUCUAGAUCCUUGAGGAAUCACCACACUGUCUUCCACAAUCACUGAACUAGUUUACAGUCCCACCGACAGUGCAAAAGUGUUCCUAUUUCUCCACAUCCUCUCCAGCAUCUGUUGUUUCCUGACUUUUUAAUGAUCGCCAUUCUAACUGGUGUGAGAUGGUAUCUCAUUGUGGUUUUGAUUUGCAUUUCUCUGAUGGCCAGUGAUGAUAAGCAUUUUUUCAUGUGUCUGUUAGCUGCAUAAAUAUCUUCUUUUGAGAACUGUCUGUUCAUAUCCUUUGCCCAAUUUUUGAUGGGGUUGUUUGAUUUUUUCUUGUAAGUUUGUUUAAGUUAUUUGUAGAUUCUGGAUAUUAGCCCUUUGUCAGAUUGGUAGAUUGUAAAAAUUUUCUCCCACUCUGUAGGUUGCCUGUUCACUCUGAGGGUAGUUUCUUUUGCUGUGCAGAAGCUCUUUAGUUUAAUUAGAUCCCAUUUGUCAAUUUUGGCUUUUGUUGCCAUUGCUUUUGGUGUUUUAGUCAUGAAGUCCUUGCCCAUGCCUAUGUCCUGAAUGGUAUUGCCUAGGUUUUCUUCUAGGGUUUUUAUGGUUUUAGGUCUAAUAUUUAAGUCUUUAAUAUAUCUUGAAUUAAUUUUUGUAUAAGGUGUAAGGAAGUGAUCCAGUUUCAGCUUUCCACAUAUGGCUAGCCAGUUUUCCCAGCACCAUUUAUUUAAUAGGGAAUCCUUUCCCCAUCUCUUGUUUUUGUCAGGUUUGUCGAAGAUCAGAUGGUUGUAGAUGUGUGGUAUUAUUUCUGAGGGCUCUGUUCUGUUCCAUUGGUCUAUAUCUCUGGUUUGGUACCAGUACCAUGCUGUUUUGGUUACUGUAGCCUUGUAGUAUAGUUUGAAGUCAGGUAGCAUGAUGCCUCCAGCUUUGUUCUUUUGGCUUAGGAUUGACUUGGCAAUGCAGGCUCUUUUUUGGUUCCAUAUGAACUUUAAAGUAGUUUUUUCCAAUUCUGUGAAGAAAGUCAUUGGUAGCUUGAUGGGGAUGGCAUUGAAUCUAUAAAUUACCUUGGGCAGUAUGGCCAUUUUCACGAUAUUGAUUCUUCCUAUCCAUGAGCAUGGAAUGUUCGUCCAUUUGUUUGUGUCCUCUUUUAUUUCAUUGAGCAGUGGUUUGUAGUUCUCCUUGAAGAGGUCCUUCACAUCCCUUGUAAGUUGGAUUCCUAGGUAUUUUAUUCUCUUUGAAGCAAUUGUGAAUGGGAGCUCACUCAUGAUUUGAUUCUCUGUUUGUCUGUUAUUGGUAUAUAAGAAUGCUUGUGAUUUUUGCACAUUGAUUUUGCAUCCUGAGACUUUGCUGAAGUUGCUUAUCAGCUUAAGGAGAUUUUGGGCUGAGAUGAUGGGGUUUUCUAAAUAUACAAUCAUGUCGUCUGCCAACAAAUAUUUAUUAGCAAGACUAAUAAAGAAGAAAAGAGAGAAGAAUCAAAUAGAUGCAAUAAAAAAUGACAAAGGGGAUAUAACCACCGAUCCCACAGAAAUACAAACUACCAUAAGAGAAUACUAUAAACACCUCUAUGCAAAUAAACUAGAAAAUCUAGAAGAAAUGGAUAAAUUCCUGGACACAUACACCCUCCCAAGACUAAACCUCUUUUCAUAAUUUAAUACCAUUUAUUUCUUUCUCCUGCCUGAUUGCCCUGGCCAGAACUUCCAACACUAUGUUGAAUAGAAGUGGUGAGAGAGGGCAUCCCUGUCUUGUGCCAGUUUUCAAAGGGAAUGCUUCCAGUUUUUGCCCAUUCAGUAUGAUAUUGGCUGUGGGUUUGUCAUAAAUAGCUCUUAUUAUUUUGAGAUACGUCCCAUUAAUACCUAAUUUAUUGAGAGUUUUUAGCAUGAAGGGCUGCUGAAUUUUGUCAAAGGCCUUUUAUGCAUCUAUUGAGAUAAUCAUGUGGUUUUUCUCGUUGGUUCUGUUUAUAUGAUGGAUUGUGUUUAUUGAUUUGCGUAUGUUGGACCAGCCUUGCAUCCCAGGGAUGAAGCCCACUGAUCAUGGUGGAUAAACGUUUUGAUGUGCUGCUGGAUUUGGUUUACCAGUAUUUUACUGAGGAUUUUUGCGUCGAUGUUCAUCAGGGAUAUUGGUCUAAAAUUCUCUUUUUUUGUUGUGACUCUAUCAGGCUUUGGUAUCAGGAUGAUGUUGGCCUCAUAAAAUGAGCUAGGGAGGAUUCCCUCUUUUUCUAUUGAUUGGGAUAGUUUCAGAAGGAAUGGUACCUGUUCCUCCUUGUACCUCUGGUAGAAUUCGGCUGUGAAUCCAUCUGGUCCUGGACUUUUUGUGGUUGGUAAGCUAUUAAUUAUUUCCUCAAUUUCAGAGCCUGUUAUUGAUCUAUUCAAGGAUUCAACUUCUUCCUGGUUUAGUCUUGGGAGGGUAUAUGUGUCCAGGAAUUUAUCCAUUUCUUCUAGAUUUUCUAGUUUAUUUGCGUAGAGGUGUUUAUAGUAUUCUCUGAUGGUAGUUUGUAUUUCUGUGGGAUUGGUGGUUAUAUCCCCUUUAUCAUUUUUUUAUUGCAUCUAUUUGAUUCUUCUCUCUUUUCUUCUUUAUUAGUCUUGCUAGCAGUCUAUCAAUUUUGUUGAUUUUUUCAAAAAAUCAGCUCCUGGAUUCAUUGAUAUUUUGAAGGGUUUUUUGUGUCUCUAUCUCCUUCAGUUCUGCUCUGAUCUUAGUUAUUUCUUGCCUUCUGCUAGCUUUUGAAUGUGUUUGCUCUUGCUUCUCUAGUUCUUUUAAUUGUGGUGUUAGGGUGUCAGUUUUAGAUCUUUCCUGCUUUCUCUUGUGGGCAUUUAGUGCUAUAAAUUUCCCUCUACACACUGCUUUAAAUGUGUCCCAGGCCGGGCGCGGUGGCUCAUGCCUGUAAUCCCAGCACUUUGGGAGGCCGAGGCGGGUGGAUCAUGAGGUCAGGAGAUCGAGACCAUCCUGGCUAACAAGGUGAAACCCCGUCUCUACUAAAAAUACAAAAAAUUAGCCGGGCGCGGUGGCGGGCGCCUGUAGUCCCAGCUACUCGGGAGGCUGAGGCAGGAGAAUGGCGUGAACCCGGGGAAGCGGAGCUUGCAGUGAGCCGAGAUUGCGCCACUGCAGUCCGCAGUCUGGCCUGGGCGACAGAGCGAGACUCCGUCUCAAAAAAAAAAAAAAAAAAAAAAAAAAAAAAAAUGUGUCCCAGCGAUUCUGGUAUGUUGUGUGUUUGUUCUCAUUGGUUUCAAAGAACAUCUUUAUUUCUGCCUUCAUUUCGUUAUGUACCCUGUAGUCAUUCAGGAGCAGGUUGUUCAGUUUCCAUGUAGUUGAGUGGUUUUGAGUGAGUUUCUUAAUCCUGAGUUCUAGUUUGAUUGCACUGUGGUCUGAGAGACAGUUUUUUAUAAUUUCUGUUCUUUCACAUUUGCUGAGGAGUGCUUUACUACCAACUAUGUGGUCAAUUUUGGAAAAAGUACGAUGUGGUGCUGAAAAGAAUGUAUAUUCUGUUGAUUUGUGGUGGAGAGUUCUGUAGCUGUCCAUUGGGUCCGCUUGGUGUAGAGCUGAGUUCAAGUCCUGGAUAUCCUUGUUAACUUUCUGUCUCGUUGAUCUGUCUAAUGUUGACAGUGGGGGUGUUAAAGUCUCCCAUUAUUAUUGUGUGGGAGUCUAAGUCUCUUUGUAGGUCUCCAAGGACUUGCUUUAUGAAUCUGGGUGCUCCUGUAAUGGGUGCAUAUAUAUUUAGGAUAGUUAGCUCUUCUUGUUGAAUUGAUCCCUUUACCAUUAUGUAAUGGCCUUCUUUGUCUCUUUUGAUCUUUGUUGGUUUAAAGUCUGUUUUAUCAGAGACUAGGAUUGCAACCCCUGCUCUUUUUUGUUUUCCAUUUGCUUGGUAGAUCUUCCUCCAUCCCUUUAGUUUAAGCCUAUGUGUGUCUCUUCACGUGAGAUGGGUCUCCUGAAUACAGCACACUGAUGGGUCUUGAUUCUUUAUCCAAUUUGCCAGUCUGUGUCUUUUAAUUGGAGCAUUUAACCCAUUUACAUGUAAGGUUAAUAUUGUUAUGUGUGAAUUUGAUCCUGUCAUUAUGAUGUUAGCUGGUUAUUUUGCUCAUUAGUUGAUGCAGUUUCUUCCUAGAAUCAAUGGUCUUUACAAUUUGGCAUGUUUUUGCAGUGGCUGGUACCAGUUGUUCCUUUCCAUGUUGAGUGCUUCCUUCAGGAGCUCUUGUAAGGCAGGCCUGUUGGUGACAAAAUCUGUCAGCAUUUGCUGGUCUGUAAAGGAUUGUAUUUCUCCUUGACUUAUGAAGCUUAGUUUGGCUGGAUAUGAAAUUCUGGGUUGAAAAUUCUUUUCUUUAAGAAUGUUGAGUAUUGGCCCCCACUCUCUUCUGGCUUGUAUAGUUUCUGCUGAAAGAUCCGCUGUUAGUCUGAUGGGCUUCCCUUUGUGGGUAACCCCACCUUUCUCUCUGGCUGCCCUUAACAUUUUUUCCUUCAUUUCAACUUUGGUGAAUCUGACAAUUAUGUGUCUUGGAGUUGCUCUUCUUGAGGAGUAUCUCUGUGGCGUUUUCUGUAUGUCCUGAAUUUGAAUGUUGGCCUGCCUUGCUAGGCUGGGGAAGUUCUCCUGGAUAAUAUCCUGAAGAGUGUUUUCCAGCUUGGUUCCAUUCUCCCCGUCAUUUUCAGGUACACCAAUCAGACGUAGAUUUGGUCUUUUGACAUAGUCCCAUAUUUCUUCGAGACUUUGUUCAUUUCUUUUUACUCUUUUUUCUCUAAACUUCUCUUCUCACUUCAUUUCAUUCAUUUGAUCUUCAGUCACUGAUACCUUUUCUUCCACUUGAUUGAAUCAGCUACUGAAGCUUGUGCAUGUGUCAUGUAGUUCUCGUGCCAUGGUUUUUAGCUCCAUCAGGUCAUUUAAGGCCUUCUCUAUGCUGUUUAUUCUAGUUAGCCAUUCGUCUAAUCUUUUUUCAAGGUUUUUAGCUUCUUUACGAUGGGUUUGAACACCCUUCUUUAGCUUGGAGAAGUUUGUUAUUACCGAUUAUCUGAAGCCUUCUUCUCUUAACUCGUCAAAGUCAUUCUCUAUCCAACUUUGUUCUGUUGCUGGCGAGGAGCUGCAUUCCUUUGGAGGAGGAGAGAGAGACUCUCUGAUUUUUAGAAUUUUCCGCUUUUCUGCUCUGGUUUCUCCCCAUCUUUGUGUUUUUAUCUACCUUUGGUCUUUGAUGAUGGUGAUGUACAGAUGGGGUUUUGGUGUGGAUGUCCUUUCUGUUUAUUAGUUUUCCUUCUAACAGUCAGAACCCUCAGCUGCAGGUCUGUUGGAAUUUGCUGGAAGUCCAGUUUUGCCUGGGUAUCACCAGUGGAGGUGGCAGAACAGUAAAUAUUGCAGAACGGCAAAUGUUGCUGCCUGAUCGUUCCUCUGGAAGCUUCAUCUCAGAGGGGCACCCGGCUGUAUGAGAUGUCAGUCGGCCCCCUACUGGGAGGUGUUUCCCAGUUAGGCUACUCAAGGGUCAGGGACCAACUUGAGGAGGCGGUCUGUCCGUUCUCAGAUAUCAAACUCCAUGCUGGGAGAACCACUACUCUCUUCAAAGCUGUCAGACAGGGACGUUUAAGUCUGCAGAAGUUUCUGCUGCCUUUUGUUC